rnacentral:rRNA from 1 species
CCUACGGGAGGCAGCAGUGGGGAAUAUUGGACAAUGGGCGCAAGCCUGAUCCAGCCAUGCCGCGUGAGUGAUGAAGGCCUUCGGGUUGUAAAGUACUUUCAGCGGGGAGGAAGGUGUUGUGGUUAAUAACCGCAGCAACUGACGUUACCCGCAGAAGAAGCACCGGCUAACUCCGUGCCAGCAGCCGCGGUAAU